UCCAGCAUGGAUUCGGAAAGUUGCAGCGAGGACCAAGAAAAAUCAACUGAAAAUCCAACAAAAACGAGCAAACAUAUACGAAAAUUGUGCUACAUGCAUAUAGCAUCCGUGAAGCAUGAGCAGGUACAGGAUAUUAUAUUUACACGAUGGAAUAGUUAAGAGAAUCCAUCACAAAGUGGCUUCGAUUGCUUGGUGAGAGUCGAGUGUUAGCAGAAGUGUAUCAAUGUUACCGUGAUACAAAAUUUCGGAAUAUUCCCGAUGAUGCUGCCUUUCAUCCCACCUGCAACAGACGUUUUAUUGAUAAGAGACGCAUGGAGCAAGCUGGGAAACGUGUUGCACGUGAAGAGACGACGACAUCAGAAAACACAGGAACACGUGGAUGAAAGAAAAAACGGGUCUAGAUCAGGUCUGCCAUUUGCUACUGCUGGUCCUGUGCUUCCAGCCCUGUGCAUAAUCUGCAAAAAAGUUGAGAAGGACGUAAUCGUUCAUGGAAAACGCCAGAGGGCACAUUUGGUUCAGACUGAAACAUCUUCUGCUGGCCAGUUGCUGAAAGGUGCUGAGAUCAAGCAAGAUGAAAGCAUUCUGUUACACAUCAAAGACAAAGAUUGUGUCACUGGAGGUUCGGUACCACACAUGCUGCUAUAGAGUACACCACCUUCCUGUCUAGAUCCACAUCAACAACAGAUAAACUAAAUGAGCCCAGAUUUGAUGCUGGGUACAAGAUCUUCUGUGAGAGGACCAUUCGCCAGAGACUGAUUGUGAACCAGGAAGUGCUGUAAAUGAGCCAGCUGACAAGGUCCUUUUCAGAUCUGGUAAAACAACAUGAAGGUGUUGAUGCUUCAAACUACAGACAAGAGACACUGAAGAGGAGGUUGACCCAUGACUUCCCUCAGCUGAUGUUUCAAUUCCCUAGCAAGCGCAAGAUAUGUGAGCUGGUUUUUGUGGAGAUGCUGUCGACAGAAACGUUGAUAGACAGGUUAUAGACAGCAUUUACCAAUUUGGGUAGCAGCUUCAACAUCCACUUUUGCAAAACUCUGCAAAUAUGUACGCCAUCUGUAUGACCAACCAGCUGCUCAAAAUGUAAAUGAAAGCAUCAUGAACUUUAUUCAUCCCCUCUACAAAUGAUGCCCUGUAUCAAAACUCCAAAAGGGCAAACUACCAAGUAGCCAUUAUGAGGUCAGCUCUGAAAGUUAAAAAUAUGUUCCCCCUCACCUCAAUCUGACAGUUAUCUGGAUGACUAGUAAUCCUGCCCCUGAAAGUGUAAUGCAGGUAGUUAACUGUAGUUGCAGGAAAGGUACAUGUGAGACAGGAACUUGUUUCUAUAUAUCAGCAGGACUGUCUUGCAGAUUUAUGCUGGUGCAGAAAUUGUGCAAAUGUGUCCUUAGGCAGUGAUGAAAAAGCUGCAUCUGCCAUACAGCUAUGAGAGUGAAAGUGAUGAAUAAUACACUCACUGUUACUGUAAAUAUGUAAAAAUGUUUUGUGUGAAUUUGUAAGCAUUGUUUCUUUGGAUUUUGGGGAAGUCAGCACAGAAGACUGAAUGAUGCAGCAAACGUCAUGCAAUACCAUGUCUGUACAUUAUUAUUAGACCUGACUAGUGAAAGUGCUGUGAAGGCCUCUUGAUAUUAUUCUGUUUGUACAAAUACAUAUUAUACUGUCCAAACACGAUAAAUGCAUAGUAAGAUCAAUAAAAGUAUCCCAUAGCAUUG